AGCUGUCCUUACGACAAUUUGCUAGGAGAUU
rnacentral:piRNA from 1 species